AUAAUACUCCCUCCGUCCCAAAAUUCUUGUCUUAAAUUUGUCUAAAUACGGAUGUAUCAAGUCAUGAAGUCAUGUUUUAGUAUUAGAUGCAUAUGUAUCUAGACAAAUAUAAUACAAGAAUUUUGGGAGGAGGGGGGGGGGG
rnacentral:pre_miRNA from 1 species